rnacentral:rRNA from 1 species
CCUUUAUACGGUGAAACCGCGAAUGGCUCAUUAAAUCAGCUAUGGUUUAUUGGAUCGUACCCGUUAAAUGGAUAACUGUAAUAACUCUAGAGCUAAUACAUGCCUCGAUGCCCUGACCCUCACGGGGAUGGGUGCACUUAUUAGAUCAGAAGCCAACCGUGUUCAGCCGUGGCAACAUGGCUGGGCGCGUUGACCUUCUGGUGACUCUGGAUAAUUGUUACAGAUCGCAGUCGGCCUUGAGUCGGCGACGGGUCCUUCAAAUGUCUGCCCUAUCAACUUUCGAUGGUAGGUGACCUGCCUACCAUGGUGAUAACGGGUAACGGGGAAUCAGGGUU